rnacentral:rRNA from 1 species
UGGGGAAUAUUGCACAAUGGAGGGAACUCUGAUGCAGCAACGCCGCGUGCGGGAUGACGGCCUUCGGGUUGUAAACCGCUUUCAGCCAUGACGAAGCUUUUGUGACGGUAGUGGUAGAAGAAGCACCGGCUAACUACGUGCCAGCAGCCGCGGUGAUACGUAGGGUGCGAGCGUUGUCCGGAAUUAUUGGGCGUAAAGAGCUUGUAGGCGGUUUGUCGCGUCGAUAGUGUAAACACGCAGCUUAACUGUGUGCCUGCUGUCGAUACGGGCUGACUAGAAGAGGGUAGGGGAGAAUGGAAUUCCCGGUGGAGCGGUGGAAUGCGCAGAUAUCGGGAGGAACACCAGUGGCGAAGGCGGUUCUCUGGACCUUUCCUGACGCUGAGAAGCGAAAGCGUGGGUAGCAAACAGG